UCAAAUGGCAUAAAAAGAUAUUUCAAUUCCCGAAAUCACAAUCUGAAUUUGAUAUCCAUAAAGUCAACUCUUGGUCAAACUUAUGAACUUUCCAAACCUUCAAAUUUCUAAUUUUGCCCAAUUUGUACCGAAACCUUCUAGAAACAUCCAAAUGCAAAUCUGAGCAUACUCCUGAGUCCAAAAUCACCAUCCGGACCUAACAGAACCAUCAAAACUCCAAUCCGAGGUCAAAUACAAAAAAAGUCAAACUUGGUCAAGUUUUCCAACUUAAAGCUUAAAACAUGAAAUUCAUUCUUUCAAAUUGAUUCCGAAUAACCUGAAAACCAAAUCGAUGAUUCACAUAAGUCAUAAGACAUCAUAUAGAGCUACUCAUGCAUGUAAACUACCGAGCGAAGUGUAAAUGCUCAAAACGACCAUUUGAGUCGUUACAUCAAACCUUUGUUUGUUUGUAGAAAAUGAAGCACGAAAUCCCUAUGUUUGAUAUAGUACAAAAUAUCCCACCUUUGCUAAUUGACUGGUGGAAAGACCUUGCACCCUAUGAUAGAAACCAUGUGAGGAGAGUACUUGGUGACCUGCUAUCUAUGCUGAACAUUCGACCAAAUAAGGAACUGAUCAAGGCCCCUACCGAGUUCUAGGACGAGAAGAGAGCUAUUUCUCGAUUUGGCAAUAUAGAAAUGACUCCUCUCUUAGAAGAAAUAGGCGGUUUCGCCAAGUUACCAUGGGAUAGUCCAGGACUAUUGGUGCCAGAAAAUCGCACUACACAUGAUUUUUUGAAAAUGUUAGGUUUUAAGAAGAAUAAUGAACUGCUCUGUUUGAAGAAAUCAUACAUCCCUUUUGAGUUUCUCUACGAGCAUUAUGGUCAUAACAAAUAAUAUCGCCUUCAUCAUAAGGAGCUAACCAUUAUUUCUUUUGGAUGGGUGCAUCGUCAGGUUUUUGUUUUUAUUGUCUGCUUCUUGGGAUUGUUGAUCUUUCCGAUUCAAGGGGGAAUUAUUCAUACUCACCCAGCCAUAGUCGCCAGGACCUUAAUGAAUGGCAUCGAAGGAAAGACGUAUACUAUCAACCUAAUGAUCUUAGCUGAGAUGUACGGUGCUCUGGAUCAGUGCAAGCAUGGGUUCAGACUCUUUGAGGGUUGUAAUCUAUUGCUACAAGUUUGGUUGUUAGAACACUUUCAUAGGGGUGAGUAUCAAAAGGAGAUUCUACAAAGGCCGUUGAAUGACUACAUAGCCAGCCAUCAUCCAAAAAAGAUGACAUUCAUCCCCAAUAGGUUUGCAAAGUGUGAAAAUGUUAUAGGCUGUGCAUUUCUUCAGUAGGAUGACAGACGAGCAAGUACAUUGGAUGUUUGAAUGUUUUCCUAGUAGAGAGUUCAUCCUCAUAUCAAAACAAACUACUCACUUGGUACUGAUCGGGCUGCGAGGCAUCUACCCUUGCACUCCUAUAAGGGUAAUAAGGCAAGAUGGAAGAAAACAAGUCAUACCUCGGGUUUCUAACAUGGUUCAGUAUAAGGCACACUUCAAAGAGGAUGUCAUCCCAUUCAAGUUCGAAGCGCAACACAUGUGGAACCAAAAGAUAAUCAUGGAAGGAGAAACUAUUGAGCCAGACAUGUAUCACGCCGGCCAUAUGUACUACUAUCUAUCAUGGAUGGAAGACAACAUAGUUGGGGACGUCAAACCAGGAGUCAAUUUGAAGGAUAUGAUCAUAGAUAAGGUGGCUGAGGAACAAGUGAAGUACAAUAGGCUAGUAAAAAGGGUGCUGGAGUCCGAAGUUAAGCAUCUGGAACUACAUAAAUUGAACAUGGAGCUGAUAAGAGAAUGGAAAGAGAUUUCCAAUAAGUCAAUAGAGAGGUUAGAAUACUUGGAGAAAGGAUUCAUAGGGCUAGAAGGGAAGAUGAGAAAGAGACUUUGGGAUUGUCAAGGGCUUAUUUACUACUGGACAUGCGAGAUAUAGUAAACAUGAUUGAUGGGGUCAAGAGAGCCAAGCAUGGAGAAGGUCCUUCAGGCACCAAGUAGAUUAGGAGAUAAUAUUCUUUACUGCAUUCUAGCUUAAAUUAAAUUUCGAUGUAAUAAGGCUUAAUGCCAUUAGUAACUUUAUUAUUAUUGUCGAUUUAGUGUAAGAUUUUUUUUGGCUUAUUUUCAAACUAAUGAAAUGAAACAAACGUUGGCAUAAAGUUUCUUCAAGUCUAUGUGUCGCUUAGGCCUACCUCAGGUACAAUGAGGUCCCUAAAAUUAGGACGCGAAUUAUUGCAUGACUUUAUGUGAUACGUGCUUAAAUAUUGCAAACACUCUUUUACUUCGUUUUACUGACUUGGUUACCUUUUAUUUUUAUUUCUUUUGAUUAUUCCCAUUCCCACGGGUUGGUUCGUGCAUCCUAGCAUCAUCAGCAUACCACACAAGAUCCAGAGGUCCUCCACCUCCUCUUCCACCUACCAACCCAAAAAGAAAAGGCAAAGGAAAAAUGGAUGAUUUAAGUGGUAUUCGAAAAGACCAUGCUACCAGAUGGGAGAGAAUGUUGAAACCUCAAACGGGAGAAGCAUGCCAGGACAGAAUGAGUUGGUCCUGCAUUUAGAGCAGAAAAUCCUGGAGCUGCAGGGUGAGCUCAAGUAGGUGCAAAAUCUGGCAAACCUUUCUCUUACUCUAAAUGUUCUCGGCAUCAACCAGCAAAACACAACCACUCAAAACCAAACACCAUAACAAAACACACAAAACUAGAAUCCACCACCCAUAACUAUGAAUCCUCUCGCACCGCACCAGUAUCAGAACCUCGUACCUCCCCAAAACCUUAACCCAACACCAGUCUAAACGCCCCAACAAAACCACCUUCACGCAACUCAAUAUCCGCAAACCACCACUUAUCACACUCCCCAAAAUGCACCACAACAUACUCCCAAUCCCCAAACCUCAAUUGAUGAUCACCCAUGUACCGAAGUUCGAGGAACUCAUCAAAGUAACCCAAUAUACAUGGAAACCUUACCCCAUACCCAGCAGAAAACUCUAUACAUACUUGAGCCGACGAAGAAGGACCUGCUCAUUUGAAAUAUGGCAGAGGAAUUCAAGAAACUAACAGGGAGAGUCCAGAGUGUUGAAGGUGGGAAAGGCAUUGAAGGUUUAAACUAUGAAGAUUUGUGUAUCCAACUAGAGGUAGAACUGCCGAACGGUUACAAACCUGCCAAGUUUGAGAUGUUCGAUAGCACUGGUGAUUCGAAGGUGCAUCUGAGAACCUACUACGAAAAGCUUGUAGGAGUGGGUAAGAAUGAACAAAUCCGCAUGAACUGUUCAUGCGAAGUCUUACAGGAGACACCUUACCUUGGUAUAUCAGUCAAAACCCAAAGAAGUGGCAUCAGAUUUCAUGGGCAGAUUUAGGUUCAAUACAUAGAAAGCACCAAACAUUUUCUUUUCUAUAUUCAGAACCUCAAGAAGAAGCCGACAGAAACCUUCCGCGAGUAUGCUACUCGUUGGAGAUCAGAGGCCGCAAAGGUAAGGCUAGCAGUUGAAAAAGAACAAAUGAACAAGUUCUUUGUUAGAGCUCAAGAUCCGCAGUAUUAUGAAAGGUUGAUGGUCAUCGAGAAUCACAAGUUCUCAUACAUCAUCAACUUAUGAGAACGGAUAGAAGAAGAAAUCAACAUUGGUAUGGUGACAAAUUUUGAGGCACUGCAAACCAUAAAUAAAGCCUUGCAAGCAGAAGGUAUUUCAAAAAAGAAAGAGAUGGGUGCCUUGAUGGUAGCCCAGGGCCCUAAGUCUCCCUUUACAUACCAAACACCUCCACCCACAUAUCAACCCUCACCCCAAAAAUACCAAUACCCUACCACCACCUACCAUGCCUCUAACACUCAGCUUUCAUAUUACCAUUCACCUCCACCCGCCCGCCAAAACUACCCAAAGCCACGCCCAAGCUUUGACCGCAGAGCUCCCAGAAAAUACACCCCAAUUGUUGAACCCAUAACCCAACUGUAUGAGAGACUGAAGGCCGCUGGUUACAUCACCCUUAUUUCUGUUGUUGCUAUUGAGAACCAUUCCCAGUGGAUUAACCCCAAUAAACUUGUGUCUAUCACUCAGGCAUGAAGGUCAUACUAUUAAAAAUGUCGCAUAUUAAAAGACAAGAUUCAGACACUAAUCGAGACUAAGGUUAUACAAGCAAAGGAAGUCGCACCAAAUGAUUAUAAUAACCCUCUCCUGGAUCAUAGGGGUGAUGGAGUGAACGUGUUAGAAACUGAUGAGGAAUGGGAUCAGGAGGGAUCUAUUGGAUUUAUUCGAGAGGGCGAUACUCCCAAAAUAGCUCAUGUCACCCUCUCGCCAAUUGUAGUGCAAACUCAGGCACCGUUUGAGGUCGAGGUAGCUACACCUUUUACAAUGAUGGCAGCUCUCACACCAUCUUAUAAGUUUGAUGCCCUCCCAUGGAAUUAUGUUGCGGAGGCAAGAAGAAAGGGAAAAUCCAAGAUGGAAGAGACAGGUAUUGCACAAAGUGUGACUAGAACUAGUAGAGUUUACACACCUGAGAAUCUUGGAGGAACAAGCAAAAAAGCUGCAUCUAAGCUGCAUGUCAUUCAGACAAGUACUGGCGAUCUUUGGAGACAAUUACUCUUGCCCAAAUAUCCAUUUUAUCACUGUUACAAAAUUCAAACGCACAUAAGAAUGCCUUAUUGAAUGGGAUAAGUAAAGCUUAUGUACCAUCCAAUAUCACUAGUGGAGAGAUGGCUAACAUGAUCGGACAUGUGCUUGAGAGUCAAAAAAUUACUUCCCACGAAGAUGAGUUACGCUAGAAGGGUUGAGUCACAAUAGAGCAGUGCACAUCACUGUAAUUUGAAGACAAGUUCAUUACCAGAGUCAUGAUAGGUGGAGGUUUGAGCCUGAACAUAUGCCCGGUGACCACUCUAAAAAGAUUACGUAAAGGCAUGCAUGAGAUACGGAUGGAAGAAUGAAUGUAAAAGCACUCGAUUGGUCCCAGAGAGCCACUAUUGGAGAAAUUAACCUUGAUCUACAGAUGGGCCCGACUUGGUUUGACGUUGAAUUCCAAGUGUUAUAUAUAUCUGCUACUUACAACAUAUUGUCUGGACGACCUGGAUACAUGCAGCUGGCGUAGUGGCUUCUACUCUGCACCAGGUUGUGAAGUUUAAGUGGAAUUAUCAGGAAAUGACCAUUCAUGGAGACAAAAGCAACCCAAUAUACACCAACCAGACCGUUCCAGUCAUCGAAAACAUAAGGAAAUUGAGAGGAGAAACAUACCACCGCAUUAAGCGGGUAAAUGCAAUUGAGAAGGAUCGAUGGUGGAGCAAUAAGAUAGAAAGCAUAUUGUUGUGGAAGGGAUAUCAAACAGGCAAGAGUCUUGGCCGAAAGCUUCAGGGGAUCACAGAACCCUACGACCACACUAUCAUGGCACGACCUUUGGGCUCGGGUACGAAUAUAACAUGCAAGAAUAUAAGGAUUGGAUGCCGCUGUGGCACACUGAUUAUUAUUCACUAGAAUAACCCAUACCACCGCUACACCAGACAUUCCGCCGGACUGACAUGAUAUGGGGAUCCGAGCAAAAUGAGAUUUUGGCUGGUAUGAGGAAGUUGUUCCUAGAUCAGGAAGAUAUGGAGUGCAGUGCAAUUUUAGAAGAGGAGGAGGAGGAGGAAGACUUUACUAUUCAAAUAGUGGGAGAAGGAGCUGUUCUCAAGAACUGGACCGAUGCACCAUCCCGAGCUCGUCGAGAACCUAGGUAGCCUCACAAAAUUAGCAUAACUCAUUUUUAAAUUGUUAAUGAGCAUUUAAGAGAUUUUUAGUAUUUUGUUUUGAAAUAAUUACUCGAGUCAUACUUGUUGACAAAUUUAAGCUUUAUUAAUGCAUUGUUUCUUUUUAUAUUUAUUAUUAUCUUUCUACAUUCUUUUUAGCAUAAUUAUUACAUAUCCUAAUGAACCUACGACUGUGACAUGUGCUGAGACCGCAACAUAAGGAUAGUGAUUCGGAAGAUCUGUGUAAUGCUCUGAACCUGGGGAAGUGUGGCUGGCACCCAGUGCCGUAAUGGCUCGAGCGAACCACUCUAUAACUCAUUCAUUCCUUUUUAUAACUAUCAUGGGCCGCAUGGCCACAACUCAUUAUGUAAAAUUGUAAGUGGGCAAAUGUUAUAUCAAUGAACUAUUGUUCAUAAAACAUGAAUACAUAUGAGUUGUCAAGACCUCUGACAUACUGUACAUAGUAAACCAGUAUCCACAAAGCCUCUAAGAUUAUUUGACAUAAUAUGGGACAGGGUACCGGCCUACCCAUAAGUCUGAAAACUCUGACACGAUGACUUGCACACUCGGUUGCACUUCGAAUGAGGUGGAGUCUUACUGAUCCUUCACUGAAUGUCAAUCUCGUAUACUAUGAGAGCUUGUCAAACUGAUUAUCUAUACCCGGAGGCAUGAAUGCAACGUCCCCAACAAAAGGACGUCAGUACGAAUAAUGUACCGAGUAUGUAAGGCAUGUAAAUAAGUAUAGGGGUGUUCACGGUUUGACGAAAAACCGAUCCAAACCGAAAACCGAACCAAACCGAUUAAGUAAACCGAUAUUUUUCUUGAUUUGGAUUGAUUUUGGUUUUAAAUUUUAAAAGCCGAUAAUAUUUGAUUUGGUUUUGGUUCUAUUUUAAAAAACCGAAAAAUAAACCGAACCAAGCCGACUAAUUAUAUACAAAAUUUAAUAAUUAUUUAUAUACAAUAUAAUAUCUUUUUGUAAAUAAUUUUAAAUAUUUUAUUCAUUUUAAUUGUUAUUUUGAAUUUUGGUUUAUCCUUUUAUAUCUUAAAAGAUUGCCUAACCCCUAAACAAUAGGACUCGAUCAAUUUUCUUUUCAUUAAAAGACUCUAGUUUUCUAACCCUCCGCACAUACUUUUGCCUAACAGAAUAGUUAAAAAAACCACCACAAGAGUAAAGAAAGCAAAUUCAAAUUGCAAGAUAACAAUAGCUAAAACUUGAGAAAGCAAACUUUUAGUUUGUUUUUUGUUCAUUCUUUUCAUAUAAAUAGGUAAAUAAACUUUCAGUUCUGAAAGAAAUAUAUAAAAAACCAUAAAUUUAGCAAAUUAUUUUCAGAUUGUUGUCUAGCGUUGUUUUACUAUUAUCGACUUAUCAUUAGCUUACUAAGAAUCGAAAAACCGAAUCAAACCAAGCCAAACCAACAACAAUCAAACUGAUGGUUUGUAUUUAAUUUGGUUUUGUUUUGGUUUUAAAAUUUUAAAAACCGAUUAAAUUGGUUUGGUUUUGGUUUUAAUCAAAAACCGACCAAACCGAACCGUGAACACCCCUAUAUAAGUAUAUAAAGAACAUGCAAGGAACGUGGAGUAAAACAUUCAGCCUGUAAGUGUGGAUAGUACUACUAUUUUAAAAGAUAGUAGUACUACAACACUUUUAUGAUAGAAGACUCUGAAAGGUAUAGUACUGAUUACGAUUCUUCUCAAUCUUUCCAUUUAGAACUUUACUUUUGUAUGAAGAGCUGUCUUCCCUUUUUGUUUAACUUUAAUUAUUUUAAUAAUUUUUUGCACAUAAAUUUUUACUCCGCGUUAAAAAUUAUGGAUUCAAUUGAACCAGUCCCUAACCCCUACAUCCCGCCCCUUCUCCAAACAAAGUUAGAGGAUCAAGAUGGAUAGUACACAUCAAACUAACUACAGAGAUGAAAAUUAAAAAUCCCAAGGAUGCAAAGUACAACAUGAGUUGGUUUUUCAAUGGCGCUAGUGAAACAUUUAAGCAAAAUAAUUUCCCCCACUAUAGAGAAGUACCUAUUGACAGAUUAACAUGAAAAGCACGUGAACGACAAAAUAUACCAUAAGAGAAAACUCUCCAAAAUUAUUUAUUCAACAGUGCAUGCCACAGGCUCAGAUAUCCAAUACACAAAACCAUUAAAAAAAAUACAUAGGUUUUCAGAAAAAGGACAAUUGCAAAAGUAGUUUGAUAGAACAAAUGGAUCAAAGAUGCAGAGCUGAGGGUCACCAGUGAUUCUUUAGAUACAACUACUAAAGCUGAAAAGUGCUUUCUAAAGUAGGCCGUACACUUAUGAAAGAAAAAACUAGAAACAAACGUAAACCAAUGGGAAAAGAAAUACUUAACUUCAUAGAGAAAGCUAAUAGGGACUGCAAGUUAAAUGUGAACAGUAAACCUCAUAUAAUUUUGAGCACUCAAUACAAAGAAACCAGUAAUAAUUCACUGAAAGAUUUCUUUCUUUGAUACUUUUCUCUUGCUUUAAUUCCAAAGCUGUGAUCCUUAAAAUUUUCUCCGUUAUGGACGUGUGGUCAUAUAUACAUAAUACAUGUAGUCAAACAUAGAUUUAUCAUCUCAUAUAAAGCACAAGUAAAAUAGGUGCGACAUACUGUAGAGAGUGGCAUCUAGAAACUUACGGGGCAAUCAACAAAAGCUACAUGCCUCGGCAAUUUCAUUCUGCAGUUCUCGAAUCCAGGGACA
rnacentral:lncRNA from 1 species